UGGGGAAUAUUGCACAAUGGGCGCAAGCCUGAUGCAGCGACGCCGCGUGGGGGAUGACGGCCUUCGGGUUGUAAACCCCUUUCAGUAUCGGCGAAGCUCCAAGGUUUUCUUUGGGGUGACGGUAGGUACAGGAGAAGCACCGGCCAACUACGUGCCAGCAGCCGCGGUAAUACGUAGGGUGCGAGCGUUGUCCGGAAUUACUGGGCGUAAAGAGCUCGUAGGUGGUUUGUCACGUUGUCCGUGAAAAACUCACAGCUUAACUGUGGGCGUGCGGGCGAUACGGGCAGACUGGAGUACUGUAGGGGGAGACUGGAAUUCCUGUGUAGCGGUGGAAUGCGCAGAUAUCAGGAGGACACCGGUGGCGAAGGCGGGUCUCUGGGCAGUAACUGACGCUGAGGAGCGAAAGCGUGGGGAGCGAACAGGAUUAGAUACCCUGGUAGUCCACGCCGUAAACGGUGGGUACUAGGUGUGGGUUUCCUUCCUUUGAGGGAUCCGUGCCGUAGCGUAACGCAUUAAGUACCCCGCCUGGGGAGUACGGACGCAAGGCUAAAACUCAAA
rnacentral:rRNA from 1 species